AAAGUCGUAACAAGGUCUCCGUUGGUGAACCAGCGGAGGGAUCAUUACUGAGUAUGUUACUCAUAACCUUUGUGAAUUUAUUUGUUGCUUUAGCAGGGAGCUAAACUAGGUUAAAUCUAGUUUACUAAUUAUUAAGGCUUUAAUCACCUUAUGCCCUGCUAAAGGAUUUGUAUCCACUGUAUUUUUAUGAUAUUCUGAGUUAAUUUUCAAUGUUAUAUAAACUUUCAACAACGGAUCUCUUGGUUCUG
rnacentral:misc_RNA from 1 species